CACAGACCCGUUGGCUGGGCCUGUGCUUCUGCAGCAAACUCCAGACACAAGUGGUAAGGAAGAAAAUGACUCUUCCCUCCACGAACUGCUUGCUAAGUCAGAAGAAGGCAGCCUGGGCGUGAUUUACAGCCAUGAUUUACGUCUCCUUUCCAUGCCGUGGAUGCUUGUGCACUCCCCUUGAAGCAAUCUAAGCUGAGCAUGAUAUGAAAAAGGAGAGACUGCGUCGUAUUUCUGUCACGCUGCUUGUCAGACAGAUCCAAAAGGCAAACUCUGGCAUGAGAUGGGAAGUGAAGCACCGUGUAUGAUCUUGUCAUGAGAGCCUGGGAAGCAUCCAGC